AUGUAUGAAUUCGCCAGAUUAGACUGCAUGACCACAGUAACAACAUUUAGCAGAUCUAGGUGCUUGAUGGAACAUAGUUGCAGAUCUGGUAGAAGGACAAGAAAGAGAAAAAAAAAAGGAAUCGGAGAAUCUGUUUUUGGGGUUGUCCAAACACAUACAUCUCAAGGUGCAGGCAUGCAUGGAACGGUUUGGCAUUUCUUCACUUUCUUUACUUUAAUUUAUGUGAUUGAUUGA
rnacentral:lncRNA from 1 species